GCGGCGGCCGCAACUUGGCGGGCCAGAUGCCCCAGGGCGCGGCGGCGCUGCCUGCCUGCCGCUGCCGCCCCUGCGGGCCCGGGGCGCAUCUCCUUGGGCGGCGCUGCCCGCGGCUCUGCGUGUGCAGCAAGCGAGUGAAGGUAUGUGUGGCGGGCGCGGCUGGGGCAGCCGCCGCCGCGCAGGGAGGUCCUAAUGCCUGUCACUUCCCAGGACAUUGGCAGUGGCAGCCCGGCGCCCCCGAGCCCAGGGCAGGUUCGCCUGUCCUUCCCCGCGAUCUGAUUGGAUAAAGUGGGGGCUCGACGGUGGCCGACGUGGGACAGUCUGGCUGUGGCAGGGGUCUCGGAAACCAUGGGUUAUUGCAGUGGCAGGUGCACACUUAUCUUUAUCUGUGGCAUGCAACUGGUUUGUGUGCUAGAGAGGCAAAUAUUUGAUUUCCUUGGAUAUCAGUGGGCACCUAUCCUGGCAAAUUUUGUACAUAUUAUCAUCGUCAUCCUUGGUUUGUUUGGAACUAUUCAAUACAGACCUCGUUACAUAACAGGAUAUGCUGUCUGGCUAGUCCUCUGGGUGACCUGGAAUGUGUUUGUUAUCUGCUUCUAUUUGGAGGCUGGAGAUCUCUCAAAGGAAACAGACCUUAUCCUGACGUUUAAUAUUUCAAUGCACCGAUCUUGGUGGAUGGAGAAUGGACCAGGAUGUAUGGUGACGUCUGUGACACCUGCCCCAGAUUGGGCUCCAGAAGACCAUCGAUACAUCACUGUCUCAGGGUGUUUUCUGGAGUACCAAUACAUAGAAGUGGCUCAUAGUUCCCUCCAGAUUGUCCUCGCACUGGCGGGCUUCAUCUACGCCUGUUAUGUUGUGAGAUGCAUAACUGAAGAAGAGGACAGCUUUGAUUUCAUAGGUGGCUUUGAUUCUUAUGGAUAUCAAGGGCCUCAGAAGACAUCCCACUUACAACUACAACCAAUGUACAUGCAAAUUCCCCUGGAUAACAACUGAUAGCAAAUUCUAUAUCUCAGCAUCAAGUGAUAUGCUGAAUUGCAAGAGAAGAUCAAAAUAGAAAGUCAAAAUAACACAGAUGGCUUCUGUCUGUCAGCCCACGGACUCCUCAAAUGACUUGUGCAGUAGCCUCUUGCCUUUUAUGAAGCUCAAGAAGCAAAUGGAUUUAAAUACACAUUCAUGUCAUCAGACCAAACAGGAAGUUUCUACAUAGACACAUGAGUGAAAACACACACACACACACACACACACACACACACACACACCACUGUCAUUAUCAUGUACACGUCAACUACACAGGACCUCCUCUUUCUGACUGAAACUGAUAAAUAUUCUGGACACGCCAAUCCUGGAUUUCCUUAACACAGGCUCCCUUCUCCCAGGCCUUUGAAGGUGAGAAAGGAGCUGUAUGGGUGUCCUCUGCAGGGCCCUACUUAACCCUCUGCAGCCCAGCCAGUUGGUUCUGUGAGGUGCCAAGUUAACCCAGGCACACAAGCUUGGAACCCUGUUCUCUGCACUCCAUACUAUACAUCUUGAUUGCACCACAGCUACUUUAAUUGCAAAAACCAGUCAGACAGAACACGCCGUGAUGACCUUGUACCAAAUGCAAAAUGGCAGGUCGUUUGCCCUAAAGGCUACACCGUACAUAUUUGCCUUAAACCACCUGCGUUGUGUGCCCGAGACUCUCAGUGCAGACGUCCCCCAGUCACUUCCUUUAGGCGAACACACUGCUAUUAAUUCUGGACAAUUUUGGCUCUGUCUCACAUCAAGGAAUAAGACUGAACCACUCAGCAGCUCCAGUGUGUCAGUAAGAAAAUGGUGUUUUAUCACUAAGCCACUUCCGUGGUCACAGAGAGACAACCAACCAACAGCAACAAUAACUGUCAUCUUCAUGUCUCUCAAACACGAUCUUCAGAUGGUGGAACAAAGUAAAACGUAUUAAUCUACUAAGCUCAUUAAUCUACUGAAAGCGGAAAUGGCUUACGUGGUUGGUUUUUCUUUCUUGCACUUUCAGUGCUUUUCUAAGUCUCUCCAAGUGGCUUUUCCUAACACGGGAAAGAGUUGUGGAUUUCUAGGACAGAGGCCAACUAACUAUGUAUUAGCUAUGUUUACUCUUUUAUAUCUAAUUCGAAUCCAAGACCCAAUGUAGGUGAAUUUUCUUUUCUAACUUCAGCGUAUGAGAUUAUUUUCGGGGUGGGUAGGUGGGGAACAAUAGUUAACUUAGUGAAAUCUUUGAGAUCUCUUUGUGGUAUUUGGGGGAUCUGUUGUGUGUUAGACUGUAUCCCAAUUCCCUGUAUUAGUGUGGCGGAAAAACAAAAACCUGUGCUGUUGACGUAGUUGGCAAUGAGAUACCUUUGGACACAAUAGUAGGUCAAUGUGUAUAUGGGAUAUUCUGAACUCCUAGGCAAUUUAUUUCGAUAUUUUCAAGUACUCUUUGGUUUUUACUCGUGGAAGACAUAAUUAGCUCAAGCUUAUCAGUAACACAGAUGAGUCAUGUUUUUCUUGGAUCUACUUGAGACACGAAAAUCAAGUUUUCUUUUGCACAUCACCUUCAUGUGCGGUGAAAUUCAGACUGGGACAUUAGACAUGGACAACUCUUUUUCUUUUGGUACCUACGGCUUCAUUUACUGGGUUAACCCUUUUUCCAUUAACCCAUUCGGAUCUCCAUUAAGACAAGCUAGUUGCUGACUUUGCAAAGAUGUUUGCAACACAAGCCCAUUUAAAAUCAACGAAGGAGCUAAAAAUGACCAUUGGAACAUAAACCACAUGUGCAAAAAGAUUUCAACACUUACACCAGUGGUUGGUAUAUGUUGGUCCAUACCUACAUGUAUGAAAUGGACAGUUGCAAACAUGUCAGUGAAACCUCAUGUGGUGUUAUUUUUUAUAGUGAUAUGCAUGUUUAAUGUUUGAGGAACUAGUCACCAAUGUACUGUCCUUUAUUCCUAACAUAUAAAUACUAUACAUGCCAGAAGCUAUUCUAAUGUGACUAUUGAACUGAGGUUUCACUGUGUUGCUGCUGGGAUGGGAUUCUACCCUGCGGUACAUGCGUAGGGAGGGUGUAAAAUAAGCCGUCAUGUUUCUUUUUAAGUUGCAGCCGACUCUCCACCAAGUCACUAUUAUCAUCACCACCAAAUUUUUCAGAAACAGUUGUUGACUACUCAGAAGUAGUCAGUGGGCAGACCUCUUCGGGAGCAGUAAGCACAGUAGUGUGAUUCGAGCUGGGAAACAUCAAAGCUAUACAGCUGUAUCCUCCUCAAAACCUGGUGAAGAAUGCUAUUUUUCUAGGCUGAGCUUUUGUUAUAAACCUAAUAUUCUGAAAGCAAGGGUUAACUAUCCUAAUCUGUCUUUUUCUUUUUCUCCUCCUGCAUUUGUUAAUUCUGAAUGUAUUUUUAACAGAGUGAUUUUUUUGACUUUACUAGUGUAAUUUGCAUUUUAAAAAUAAAUGGAAAAAUGAA